AUUUAUAUAGAUUAAUUUAAAAUCAUUACAUUUUCAUUGUAAAAUUAAGAAAAACUUCUUUAUAAAUG
rnacentral:tRNA from 1 species